rnacentral:rRNA from 1 species
GAUCAUGGCUCAGGAUGAACGCUAGCUACAGGCUUAACACAUGCAAGUCGAGGGGCAGCAUGUUGGUUGCUUGCAACCAAUGAUGGCGACCGGCGCACGGGUGAGUAACGCGUAUCCAACCUACCCUUGUCCAUCGGAUAACCCGUCGAAAGGCGGCCUAACACGAUAUGCGGUUCACAGCAGGUAUCUAACGUGAACGAAAUGUAAAGGAGAAGGAUGGGGAUGCGUCUGAUUAG